AGAGCUCAAAUUUGAAAGCUGGCGUCUUCGGCGUCCGCGUUGUAAUCUCGAGACGUGUUUUCCCUGCGGCUCUAUGGACAAGUCCCUUGGAACAGGGCAUCGUAGAGGGUGAAAAUCCCGUACUUGCCAUGGAAGUACCGUGCUUUGUGAUACACGCUCCAAGAGUCGAGUAGUUUGGGAUUGCUGCUCAAAGUGGGUGGUAGACUCCAUCUAAAGCUAAAUAUCGGGGAGAGACCGAUAGCGAACAAGUACCGUGAGGGAAAGAUGAAAAGCACUUUGGAAAGAGAGUUAAAAGUACGUGAAAUUGUCGAAAGGGAAGCACUUGAAGUCAGCCAUGCUGCUUGAGACUCAGCCUGGCUUUUGCUUGGUGUAUUUCUCGGUAGCAAGCCAGCAUUGGUUUGUGUCGUCGGAGAAGCGUAUGGGGAAUGUGGCAUCCUCGGAUGUGUUAUAGCCCUGUGCAGGAUACGACGACGUAGACCAAGGAACGCAGUGUGCCCUCUGGGCGGGUCUUCA
rnacentral:rRNA from 1 species